rnacentral:rRNA from 1 species
CUGUACUUGGUGUUACUGCGAAGGGGGGACGGAGAAGGCUAUGUUGGCCGGGCGACGGUUGUCCCGGUUUAAGCGUGUAGGCUGGUUUUCCAGGCAAAUCCGGAAAAUCAAGGCUGAGGCGUGAUGACGAGGCACUACGGUGCUGAAGCAACAAAUGCCCUGCUUCCAGGAAAAGCCUCUAAGCAUCAGGUAACAUCAAAUCGUACCCCAAACCGACACAGGUGGUCAGGUAGAGAAUACCAAGGCGCUUGAGAGAACUCGGGUGAAGGAACUAGGCAAAAUGGUGCCGUAACUUCGGGAGAAGGCACGCUGAUAUGUAGGUGAAGUCCCUCGCGGAUGGAGCUGAAAUCAGUCGAAGAUACCAGCUGGCUGCAACUGUUUAUUAAAAACACAGCACUGUGCAAACACGAAAGUGGACGUAUACGGUGUGACGCCUGCCCGGUGC